UGGAUAGCUCAGUUGGUUAGCAUGUGGUGCUGAUGACGCCAAGGUUUCAGGUUCAAAUCCCCCGUAUGGAACAG